UGUAUGGGUGUUUGGACUGUGUGUAUAUCUGUGCACCACGUGCCUGUCCAGAGAAAAGGGCAUUGGGUCCCCUGAAACUGGAGUUACAGAUGGUUUUGAGCUGCCACAUGAGUGGGAGUCAUCCCAAAUCUUCUGGAAGAGAAACCAGCUCUCUUAGCCAGGAAGACUUCGCCUAAGGUUUCUCUCUGCAUUCCCCACUCCACACCUCCUGUUUUUUGAGGUAGGAUCUUCCUCUGAAGUCCAAGCUGGCCUAGAGCUUGAAACCCUCCUGCAGUUACUGACACAGGAAAAUUCUCACAUCAAUUUCAAGUUAAAUCAUUGAGAUUCAGUGUCAUUAUUAUGGAGCUAGAGAGAGAGGGCAAGAGUUCAAAUCCCCAGAGCUCAUGUAGUACUGGGUGCAAGUCUGUAAUCACAGUGUUCCUGCUGGGAGAUUGGGACAGGAGAAGAAUUCUGUUGUACUUUCCUGUUGUAGUCUUGAAUGACUAGGCAAGAUCCAAGACUGAGUUUGUCCUCUGAGGCUAACCUGCAGCUGUGGCAAACCCAUGGCUACACAGGGAUUCUGGGAACCCAACUAGGAUCCUCUGUAAGAGCAAUAAGCAGCCUUAACUCUUGCUGUAUGUAGCUUCUGGCUCCAGUUUUGGGAUAAAAAUGUAGCUAGAGUUUUCCUGCCUUGCCCACAGUCAGGACAAAUCUUUCUCACCCGCCUGUCCCACAG